rnacentral:SRP_RNA from 1 species
GCUAGGUGCAGUGGCAUGUGCCUGUAGUCCCAGCUACUCGGGAGCCUGAGGUGGGAGGAUCACUUGAGUCCAGGAGUUCUGGGCUGUAGUGUUCUAUGCCGACCAGGUGUCCGCACUAAGUUUGGCAUCAAUAUGGUGACCUCCCGGGAGCGCGGGAUCACCAGGUUGCCUAAGGGAUCACCAGGUGAGCCAGCCCAGGUCAGAAACAGAGCAGGUCAAAACUCCCGGCCGGGCGCGGUGGCUCAAGCCUGUAAUCCCAGCACUUU